rnacentral:lncRNA from 1 species
AAGAGAAAAACAGUCUUAGAUGCAACAUAAAAAUUUCAGAGACAGAAGAAAUCUUCCUUUGAGGGCAGGAUUGAAAUGCUGUUUUUCUUCCCUGGUACAAUGUUAAAGCUUUAAACUCUUGUCAAUGAUGUGAUGUUUCAUCUGCAAUGAUCUACACUAGAAAAAUAAAAAUGUAGUUACUGACAAAAAAGCAGGAACUACUGCUCUAAGGAAAAAAGGACAGCUACAUGAGGACCACACAACUCCUGGAAGAGGUUUCCCUGGCAACACAACUUUUCCAUUCAUCUGGUUGCAGUGUUUUCAUCCAGUAGCCUGUCACCUCACUCAAAAGCAGGGCAAUGGAGAGAAAGAAACUUACCAAGUUUUUUCUUUUAACUAGAGAGUAGCCUACUUAUUGGGCCCUGCAAUUAAUUUCAGUACUCCAGGCAGAUUUAUAAAGGAAGCUGCUGGAAGGAAUUCAUUCCCUUUUUGCUGUUCUGCCUUCCACCUUCCACUGUGUGAGGACACUGCAAGAAAGCCCUCAUCAGACACCAACUGCCAGCACCUAGAUCUUGGAAUUCUCAGCCUCCAGAACUGUGAG